GUAUUAUUGGACCAUUUAUAAACAAAAAAUACAUAACAUGAGACAAGCUUUGAACCCACCAAAUUGAAUUCUAAGGAGAGUAAAAGUUACAUUUUAAGCCAACACACCAAGCAUCCCCUUCGGAGCAGCAAAGGCACUUUGCGGCUCAUAGGUUUACAUGCCUAUCACUGUAACUCCAGAGCGGGCUUUUGGAAGUUACGGCAAGCCAGCCAUGUUGUCCAUCGAAAGGUUUGCCCAGAGGAAGAACUGCCAUGCCACCUUUCUGUUCAAGUGAGCCCUCAGCCUUGUUUGCAGCCAGUGGCAACAAGAGGAAGUGCUGCAAGUUGUGUGGACCCUAAAAGGACUCAUGACCACAUGCAACACACAUGCAAAAACUUCAAAAAGUAAAUCUGGAGUACACAUACUCUCAAAUUCUGUGCAUCAUGAGUACAGGCAUGCCAUGAGCACACAGUUUUAUCCAAUGUUAUUUCAGAAAUAUUUGAGAGGUAUUUCAUAUGUACUGUAUUUAAUCGACAGUGACUAAAACAGUGUACAUUUUGUUCAUGUUUUGUAUUUCUAUUUAUCACAAAUUCAUAACCUG
ensembl:lncRNA